rnacentral:rRNA from 1 species
UAGGGAAUAUUGGUCAAUGGGCGAGAGCCUGAACCAGCCAUGCCGCGUGAAGGAAGGCGGCCUUCUGGGUUGUAAACUUCUUUUAUCAGGGAACAAAAAGCUUCUGCGGAAGAAAUUGAGUGUACCUGAAGAA